AACCGGGGGUAGCACAGUUGGCUAGAGCGUGUUAUGUUGCAGGCGCGACUAGUCACUGUUUAUCGUGCCCGUGGGUUCGAUUCCCAGCUCCGUCA